rnacentral:misc_RNA from 1 species
GAUGAAGAACGUAGUGAAAUGCGAUAAGUAAUGUGAAUUGCAGAAUUCAGUGAAUCAUCGAAUCUUUGAACGCACAUUGCGCCCGCCAGUAUUCUGGCGGGCAUGCCUGUCUGAGCGUCAUUUCAACCCUCAUGCCCCUAGGGCGUGGUGUUGGGGUUCGGCCAAAGCCCGCGAGGGACGGCCGGCCCCUAAAUCUAGUGGCGGACCCGUCGUGGCCUCCUCUGCGAAGUAGUGAUAUUCCGCAUCGGAGAGCGACGGGCCCCUGCCGUUAAACCCCCAACUUUCCAAGGUUGACCUCAGAUCAGGUAGGAAUACCCGCUGAACUUAAGCAUAUCAAUAAGCGGAGGA